AACGCACGAGACCUGCGGACCUGCGGAAGGAUCAUUAUCGAGUUUACAACUCCCAAACCAUUGUGAAUCUUACCUUUUCGUUGCUUCGGCGGGAUCGCCCCGGGCGCUUCGGUGCCCCGGAUUCAGGCGCCCGCCGGGGGACCUAAACUCUUGUAUUAUAGUGGAUUUCUGAGUGGAUUACACAAAUAAUCAAAACUUUUAGCAACGGAUCUCU
rnacentral:misc_RNA from 1 species